rnacentral:rRNA from 1 species
CCUACGGGAGGCAGCAGUCGGGAAUUUUGGGCAAUGGGCGAAAGCCUGACCCAGCAACGCCGCGUGAAGGAUGAAGCUUUUCGGAGUGUAAACUUCAUAAGAAUGGGACGAAUAAGGGAGGGCUAAUACCCCUUCUGAUGACGGUACCAUUUGUAAGCUCCGGCUAACUCCGUGCCAGUAGCCGCGGUAAUACGGGGGGAGCAAGCGUUGUUCGGAUUUACUGGGCGUAAAGGGCGCGUAGGCGGCGCAACAAGUCACUUGUGAAAUCUCCGGGCUUAACCCGGAGCGGCCAAGUGAUACUGUCGUGCUAGAGUGCGGAAGGGGCUACUGGAAUUCUCGGUGUAGCGGUGAAAUGCGUAGAUAUCGAGAGGAACACCUGCGGCGUAGGCGGGUAGCUGGGCCGACACUGACGCUGAGGCGCGAAAGCCAGGGGAGCGAACGGGAUUAGAUACCCCGGUAGUCCUGGCCUUAAACGAUGGAUACUUGGUGUCCGGGGUUACAUAGUCCCCGGGUGCCGGCGCUAACGCAUUAAGUAUCCCGCCUGGGGAGUACGGUCGCAAGACUGAAACUCAAAGGAAUUGACGGGGACCCGCACAAGCGGUGGAGCAUGUGGUUUAAUUCGACGCAACGCGAAGAACCUUACCUGGGCUAGAAUGCCUCUGACAACCCUGGAGACAGGGCCUUCUGGGUAAAACCAGACAGAGUGCAAGGUGCUGCAUGGCUGUCGUCAGCUCGUGUCGUGAGAUGUUGGGUUAAGUCCCGCAACGAGCGCAACCCUUGUCAGUAGUUGCCAGCGGUUCGGCCGGGCACUCUACUGAGACUGCCGUUGAUAAACUGAGGAGGGGGGGGAUGACGUCAAGUCCUCAUGGGCCUUUAUGUCCAGGGCUACACACGUGCUACAAUGGCAGGUACAAACCGCUGCAAACUCGCAGAGGGAGCCAAUCGGAAAAGCCUGUCUCAGUUCGGAUUGGAAUCUGCAACUCGACUUCCAUGAAGCUGGAAUCGCUAG